rnacentral:lncRNA from 1 species
ACUUGUGCUUUGAGAGAAAGAGAGAUGCUGGUAGGUUUUUAGGGACGGUAGUAUUAGUUUUUAUGCAUUCAUAGUUGUUUUUAAAUCAUUACUUUUCACUUUUAUUUGUUCCUCCUAUAAACUCUCUGCUGUUGAUCUACGAAAUAAUUUUGGAGCAAAUUUAUGAUUAAUAUUUUUUGUUUAACAUAUUUUUAAAUUUAAUAAUUUGGAAAUGAUACCAAACAGGUUCCCGUCCAAAGCGGACCGUAAUAGUAUGCGUUCCCGACCAAAAACGUUAUUCGCAUUAAUAAUGGAUCCACUCCGACACACGUGGCAAAAAUGACUCACGGGCAAAACAAACAGACAAGGGAUAGCAACUCACGCGACAGCAACGACGGUGAAAGCGGCGCCGACGCACUAAAUCCGAUAAUAAAGGUUCCUUACCUUGUUACAUACUCCUUCAUUUGGGGAAAGGGGAAUCAUCAGUUGUUUGGUGGGUGGGAGCAUGGUG